rnacentral:rRNA from 1 species
GCGGCAGGCCUAACACAUGCAAGUCGAGCGGUAGCACAGAGAGCUUGCUCUCGGGUGACGAGCGGCGGACGGGUGAGUAAUGUCUGGGAAACUGCCUGAUGGAGGGGGAUAACUACUGGAAACGGUAGCUAAUACCGCAUAACGUCGCAAGACCAAAGAGGGGGACCUUCGGGCCUCUUGCCAUCAGAUGUGCCCAGAUGGGAUUAGCUAGUAGGUGGGGUAACGGCUCACCUAGGCGACGAUCCCUAGCUGGUCUGAGAGGAUGACCAGCCACACUGGAACUGAGACACGGUCCAGACUCCUACGGGAGGCAGCAGUGGGGAAUAUUGCACAAUGGGCGCAAGCCUGAUGCAGCCAUGCCGCGUGUAUGAAGAAGGCCUUCGGGUUGUAAAGUACUUUCAGCGGGGAGGAAGGUGUUGAGGUUAAUAACCUCAGCAAUUGACGUUACCCGCAGAAGAAGCACCGGCUAACUCCGUGCCAGCAGCCGCGGUAAUACGGAGGGUGCAAGCGUUAAUCGGAAUUACUGGGCGUAAAGCGCACGCAGGCGGUCUGUCAAGUCGGAUGUGAAAUCCCCGGGCUCAACCUGGGAACUGCAUUCGAAACUGGCAGGCUAGAGUCUUGUAGAGGGGGGUAGAAUUCCAGGUGUAGCGGUGAAAUGCGUAGAGAUCUGGAGGAAUACCGGUGGCGAAGGCGGCCCCCUGGACAAAGACUGACGCUCAGGUGCGAAAGCGUGGGGAGCAAACAGGAUUAGAUACCCUGGUAGUCCACGCCGUAAACGAUGUCGAUUUGGAGGUUGUUCCCUUGAGGAGUGGCUUCCGGAGCUAACGCGUUAAAUCGACCGCCUGGGGAGUACGGCCGCAAGGUUAAAACUCAAAUGAAUUGACGGGGGCCCGCACAAGCGGUGGAGCAUGUGGUUUAAUUCGAUGCAACGCGAAGAACCUUACCUACUCUUGACAUCCAGAGAACUUUCCAGAGAUGCAUUGGUGCCUUCGGGAACUCUGAGACAGGUGCUGCAUGGCUGUCGUCAGCUCGUGUUGUGAAAUGUUGGGUUAAGUCCCGCAACGAGCGCAACCCUUAUCCUUUGUUGCCAGCGGUUCGGCCGGGAACUCAAAGGAGACU